rnacentral:rRNA from 1 species
ACUGAUGAGGGACACACGUGUGUGUGGACUUGUGGUGAUCCUAUGCUGCCGAGAAAAGCCUCGACGUGAGGGCAUGACCUGCCCGUACCCUAAACCGACUCAGGUGGUCAGGUAGAGUAUACCGAGGCGUUCGAGUGAAUCGUGGUUAAGGAACUCGGCAAAAUUCCUCCGUAACUUCGGGAUAAGGAGGACCCCGUGACUUCCCAAUGCUUUGCGUGUUGGUGGGGUUGUGGGGUCGCAGAGAAUAGGGAGAAGCGACUGUUUAUCAAAAACACAGGUGCGUGCGAAGCCGUAAGGCGAUGUAUACGCACUGACGCCUGCCCGGUGCUGGAAGGUUAAGAGGAACUGUUAACAUUCUUUGUGGGUGUGAAGCGGUGAAUUUAAGCCCCAGUAAACGGCGGUGGUAACUAUAACCAUCCUAAGGUAGCGAAAUUCCUUGUCGGGUAAGUUCCGACCUGCACGAAUGGCGUAACGACUUCUCCGCUGUCUCAACCGCGAACUCGGUGAAAUUGCAGUACGAGUAAAGAUGCUCGUUUCGCGCAGAAGGACGGAAAGACCCCGGGACCUUUACUAUAGCUUGGUAUUGGUGUUCGCUUGGACUUGUGUAGGAUAGGUGGGAGACUGUGAAGCUGCCGCGCCAGCGGUGGUGGAGUCGUCGUUGAAAUACCAUUCUGGUUUAAGCGGUCACCUUAACCUUGGCCCGUGAUCCGGGUUGGGGACAGUGCCUGGUGGGUAGUUUAACUGGGGCGGUCGCCUCCGAAAAUGUAACGGAGGCGCUCAAAGGUUCCCUCAGCCUGGUUGGUAAUCAGGUGGCGAGUGCAAGUGUACAAGGGAGCUUGACUGUGAGACCGACGGGUCGAGCAGGUGCGAAAGCAGGAACUAGUGAUCCGGCCAUGGCACGUGGGUGCGUGGUCGCUCAACGGAUAAAAGGUACCCCGGGGAUAACAGGCUGAUCUUGCCCAAGAGUCCAUAUCGACGGCAUGGUUUGGCACCUCGAUGUCGGCUCGUCGCAUCCUGGGGCUGGAGUAGGUCCCAAGGGUUGGGCUGUUCGCCCAUUAAAGCGGUACGCGAGCUGGGUUCAGAACGUCGUGAGACAGUUCGGUCCCUAUCCUCUGUGCGCGCAGGAAAUUUGAGGAGGGCCGUCCCUAGUACGAGAGGACCGGGAUGGACGAACCUCUGGUGUGCCAGUUGUACCGCCAGGUGCAUGGCUGGUUAGCUACGUUCGGAAGGGAUAACCGCUGAAAGCAUCUAAGCGGGAAGCCUGCUCCAAGAUGAGGUUUCCGCGC